GUAAGUCUAAAGUUAGGAAACAAGUGAGAAGGAUGAGAGAGCAACAUAAAAAGGGAUACUCAAGUUAUCAAGCCCAGCGGAAGGAUUCCAAAUAAGCAAAGCUUCAAAGAAAAUCCCAGGUUUGGCCAACUGAAGCAACCAGCUUUAAAAUCUCCCCUAUUGGUUGCAUGGCAUAGGAAAGAAAAGGCACCAACUCUCUUGGCUUUUGCUUCAAAAACUCCAAGGAUCAGAAGGAAACCCAGAAGCUCUCCAGUUUAACACGUACUUGAAUAAGAGCUCCAUCUACUAAAUACCUGGCAAGUAUUUUCUGAUUCUUUACUUAAUAAAUUAAAUAAAAGGGUGGGACA
rnacentral:lncRNA from 1 species